GGGCGUGUGCCGGAGCGGUUAAUCGGGACGGGCUGUAAACCCGUUGGCUUUGCCUACCAUGGUUCGAAUCCAUGCGCGCCCACCA
rnacentral:tRNA from 1 species